UGCGGAAGGAUCAUUACCGAAAUGCAGCAGGGCUACGGCCCGCAUACGCAUCUCACCCACCCUUGACUUUGAGCACCUUGAUUUCCUCGGCGGGGACGCCCGCCAACGAGGACUCCCAAAACUCUUGCAGUAGCAGUAUUUGUCUGAACAAACCAAACUUAUUAAAACUUUCAACAAUGGAUCUCUUGGUUCUGGCAUCGAUGAAGAACGCAGCGAAAUGCGAUAAGUAGUGUGAAUUGCAGAAUUUAGUGAAUCAUCGAAUCUUUGAACGCACAUUGCGCCCCUAGGUAUUCCUUGGGGCAUGCCUGUUCGAGCGUCAUUUCAACCUUCAAGCCCAGCUUGGUAUUUGGGUGAUUGUUCGGUUACCCGUUUCAGAUGCGGACCUACAAGCGCCUUCGGGCCCGUGUAGGUCAUCAGUUAUCGGUCCUGCUGUGAUCGAUGGACGGCCCUGGAACAGCGAACUCACCUUAAAGUCAUUGGCAGCCCGCAUCCGCCGGCCAUGAGCGCAGCACAAACGCACUCUAGGUAGGAGCAGAUCGGCUAUCCAGAAGCUACACCCCAAUGUUGACCUCGGAUCAGGUAGGGAUACCCGCUGAACUUAAGCAUAUC
rnacentral:rRNA from 1 species